GAUCCUGGCUCAGGAUGAACGCUAGCUACAGGCUUAACACAUGCAAGUCGAGGGGCAGCAUGAACUUAGCUUGCUAAGUUUGAUGGCGACCGGCGCACGGGUGAGUAACACGUAUCCAACCUUCCGUUUACUCAGGGAUAGCCGUUUCGAAAGAAAGAUUAAUACCUGAUAGUAUGGUGAGAUUGCAUGAUAGCACCAUUAAAGAUUUAUUGGUAAACGAUGGGGAUGCGUUCCAUUGGG
rnacentral:rRNA from 1 species